UACGGGGGGGGGCAAGCGUUGUUCGGAAUCACUGGGCGUAAAGGGCUCGUAGGUGGUUCGGUAAGUCAGGUGUGAAACCUCCAGGCUCAACCUGGAGACGCCACUUGAUACUGCUGUGACUGGAGUCCGGUAGGGGAGCGUGGAAUUCCUGGUGUAGCGGUGAAAUGCGCAGAUAUCAGGAGGAACACCAGCGGCGAAGGCGGCGCUCUGGGCCGGUACUGACACUGAGGAGCGAAAGCGUGGGUAGCAAACAGG
rnacentral:rRNA from 1 species